GUCAAACAGACCCCAAACGAAUCGGUUGCUCGUAUUCGUGAAGUUCUCACCACUAAUUAACAAUAGAUUCCUAAAUCAAAUGGGACACCAAUUCCGUCGACCUCAAGGUACGUCUAACUGAAGACUAGAAAGGCCGCUCCGGAAUGUUUGAAUGAAGAAUGCACGGUCAGCUGUGUUUUGCUUUACCCUUCUACUCUUUACUACUAUGUCAUAAAGCCUUCCUUCCCACCUUACUGCUGUUCUACACCCGUUGGUUGAAGGCUACUGAAGAUGGUGCAAAAGAAAAAAAAGUACGGAUCCUCUUCAUAUGGAUGAGCUAUGAGUUCCACGUUUGGUUUGACUGGCAUUGGUUUUCAUAUGACUUUUUUCGGAAAGAAAAAUCAAAGUUUACACACUUAGAAAAUUUGGCAGAAUUCGGUAAUUUUUUACCGAGUUUUCAACACGUUCGGUGAUCAGUUCGGUAAUUGAAUUGAUAACCAAUCGUUUGGUAAUUGCUGAACUGUCAAACAACUACCGUAAACUGUAAACCAGAUGGUCCAACUGAUUAUUUCAAAAAACAACACCAAUUUACAAAAAUGAAUAAAGAAAACUCCAACCUGUUGUGGCUAUGGUUUUAUUCCAAAAAAACAGGGUUAAAUGUUCCGGCUGGCCGAAAUUAUAAGCGCCUUCCAAAAACACUGCACAAUCCGUCGAGUUCACCAGAAAUUACCCUCGAACGAUUUGUGUAGACAGCAAGUGGACAAGUGAUACACAAUUAUUUUCUGCCUAUAAGUAAACAAAAAGCUUUUAGUGGUUCUAAUGUUUUAAAAACUUUAGCACCUGUACCUCAAU